rnacentral:rRNA from 1 species
CGGGACGGGUGAGUAAUGUCUAGGGAAACUGCCUGAUGGAGGGGAGUAACUACUGGAAACGGUAGCUAAUACCGCAUAACGUCGCAAGACCAAAGAGGGGGACCUUCGGGCCUCUUGCCAUCGGAUGUGCCCAGAUGGGAUUAGCUAGUAGGUGGGGUAACGGCUCACCUAGGCGACGAUCCCUAGCUGGUCUGAGAGGAUGACCAGCCACACUGGAACUGAGACACGGUCCAG